CUCCAACCUAUGAGGAAAUGCUGGCCGAUGUGCGCUUUCCAUAGGAUUUUCUAUACUGUAAUACCUCAAAACGCGAAUGAGCAUCGACCGUGAACGUUGACGAGGAAUAAUUGCAGCGCUGAAGCCCUUCCAACUUAAAGUCAAACACGGUGCGCCUGUGAGAAGAUAAAUUGUGGAAAAUGUUGUCGCAAUUACAACAAAACAACGUAGCUCGACUAGCGUGAACAGCAAAACGCAGAAAGCGAAAUAAUUAAAUAAUUUUCGUUGAAUAACGGUUCCGCAGUGAAGUUGCAGGACAGCCAUUAGAGAGGACGAGGAAAGCAUUACAGCGUGAAACUUGCUGAAAAUACGAGCAGCCACAUCAAAUCGGUCCAUCAGCAGUGCCUGUCAUUCGCUAACGGCAUCAUCAUCACGGCAAAAGAAAACAAUACCGAACUUCAGCCAAGAACAACAAACAAACAAGCGAACCAACGAAAGCGCAUCGUCAGCAGUGGUAAUAACGCUUGACACUGCUUGCCGCUCUGCUCUCUGCAGCUAUACGAACCGACACGGAUGCGUGCAAAAUUGUUCGAGUGCUUCGUAUUGAUUUAACGUUGUUUGCUAAGCGAAAAGUACGCAGAAAUACAAAUAAAACAAAAGAAGCGCAUAAGUAGAAAGUUAUAAUUAAUAAUAAUGCUACAACAAAUACAACUACCAACACUAAUGCAGUAGAAAAGUGCUCUCAAUACAAAUUGAAAAACUAAAGUUUCGCUCUCGUGUUUUUGAGCGAAAAAAGUAAUAACAACGAAUAGCAAAUCAUCAGCUGAGUCGUGAAAGAGCGUGGCAUAGAAACGGAAAUCGAGACUAUAAUUCAAAAGAUAAAACAAAAAACAACAAAUUAAAGACGCGACUUUCGCUGUCAUUCUGCUGAUACUCAACAGACCCGUUAAACAAAUAAAAGUAGCACAAAAUGCCGCCAAACACGAAUACGAACACCGAAGAGCAGCUGCCGGAAGAGUCGACGCAAAGUCUGGAACCGGCCGAUCAGAAAGUUGAAGAGACCACGCAGCGGGAGGUGUUCCGUGAGCUCGCGCAAAAACAGGCGGAACAACAGCAGGCGGAAAGUCAAAAAAUGUUCACCACUUUGACACCCAAAACCACAACAGAGGCCGAAGAGGAACCCACCACAACAACUGCGUCUACCAUCCAGAAAAUCGGACAUGCCGGCGAAGUGGUCACCGAAGUGAUUGCCGAGAAGACCGGUCUGCCCACAUGGGGCGUGGUGGCAAUUAUCAUACUGGUAUUCCUCGUCGUCUUUGGUAUACUCUUCUUUUGUGUACGUCGUUUCUUAAAGAAGCGACGAACCAAAGAUGGUAAGGGUAAGAAGGGUGUCGAUAUGAAAUCGGUACAAUUAUUAGGAUCGGCGUAUAAAGAGAAACCUGAUAUGGAGGAACUCACCGAAAAUGCUGAAGAAGGCGAUGAGGAGGAUAAACAAAGCGAGCAAAAAUUAGGAAGACUGAAUUUUAAGCUCGAAUAUGACUUCAACUCGAACAGCUUAGCGGUCACCGUUAUACAAGCCGAAGAAUUGCCCGCGCUUGAUAUGGGCGGCACAUCAGAUCCUUACGUUAAGGUCUAUUUGCUACCCGAUAAGAAGAAGAAGUUCGAAACCAAAGUGCAUCGCAAAACACUGAACCCGGUCUUCAAUGAAACCUUCACAUUUAAGAGCUUGCCCUAUGCCGAUGCCAUGAACAAGACGCUCGUAUUUGCCAUAUUCGAUUUCGAUCGUUUCUCCAAGCAUGACCAAAUCGGCGAGGUGAAGGUGCCACUCUGCACUAUUGACUUGGCGCAAACCAUCGAGGAAUGGCGAGACUUGGUCAGCGUUGAAGGUGAAGGCGGACAGCUUGGCGACAUCUGCUUCUCACUGCGUUAUGUACCAACUGCUGGCAAGCUAACUGUGGUCAUCUUGGAAGCAAAGAACUUGAAGAAGAUGGACGUCGGCGGAUUGUCUGAUCCAUAUGUGAAAAUUGCAAUCAUGCAAAAUGGAAAACGUUUGAAAAAGAAGAAGACAAGUAUCAAAAAAUGCACCCUCAACCCUUACUAUAAUGAGUCGUUCUCAUUUGAAGUACCAUUUGAACAAAUACAAAAAAUCUGUCUCGUCGUUACUGUUGUGGAUUACGAUCGUAUCGGUACAUCUGAGCCGAUUGGACGCUGCAUACUCGGCUGUAUGGCUACCGGCACCGAAUUGCGGCAUUGGUCCGAUAUGUUGGCCUCACCACGACGACCGAUUGCCCAAUGGCACACAUUGAAGGAUCCCGAAGAAACCGAUGAAAUACUGAAGAAUAUGAAGUAAAGUGACGGGGGCGGUUUAUGUAGAAAGUACUAAGUAGGAGGUGUGAAGAAUGUGAGACGUGAAGAUCAAGUUGUUCAUCAAUACAAUGAAUUCAUGUAGUAAACGCAAAAUAAAUCAACUAACAUAUUUACAUACUCACUAUGUAAUAGUUACCCGAACCGUACCGUACCGCAAAUGAAUGCUAGAGAUGAUAGUCUAACAUAACAAAUAUAAAUUAAAAUGCCGUCAACAACAAGAAAAAACAACAGCAACAACAACAAAACAAAAUAAAUCAAACACAUAAUAUACAACAAAUUACCGAACAACCGAACAACAACAACAGGCAAACCGCUCAUCAUUAGUUCCACAUAGAAAAAGUAUAAGUCUUUGAAGAAGAAACGUCUUAUUCGCAUAAAAAUAUACAUACAUACAUCCUAUAUAUAUAUAUUCAUAUAUAUAUAUAUAUACAUAUAUAUAUACAUGAACAAAAAUAAUUUAAUUCUUUGUUAGUCCUCGACUCCGACCUCGAAACCAACAAUCAAACACACCGCGUUAAAACUAACUAGAGAAAUUUCUAAAAUGUAAUGAAAAUGGUAACAAAUUGAAAUAAAUAUAACAGGCGGUGUAAAUACAGCAUUAUGCCUGUGCAACGGUUCGCUGUAAAAUGCAGCUUUGGCAUUCAAAAUGGCCGCGGUGAGGCGAGUCGGUUAUGAAAACAAACCAAACGCAAAAACUACUCUUAGACAAAUAUUUAAAUAAUUACGAAAAUCACAUGCAUGCAUAUAUGCAGAAAUAUGCGUGUGUGUGUAGUUAUGUAUAUGAAAAACCAAAAACCAAAAACAAAACUCUGUAACUGUUGACUUCCUGUUAAAAUGUUUAUAUAAAAUCAUAUGCAAUGAAUUAAGACGCAUUGUAUUGUACUCUACUGUAUUGCAUCGUCUAGUAUAUAUUGUGACCGUAUUGUACUAUAUGCAUAAUUAUAUAUACAUAUUUAUAUAUAUAUAUAGAUAUUGAGAUGCCUCCAUUGUAUCUACGUAUGCUCUUUCCAAAGUUGUUUGUUUUCUGCUUUCAGCUCGAUUCUUUAGAAAGGAAGCACUUUUUUCACAAUAUUAUAUUUGUUUCAUAAUUUGUAUGUAUUGUAUUUAAGUCUUGAGGGCGAUGUUUCAAAUGUUAAAACUAAAUUUACCAAAACAUGCUAAUUAAAAAUACAAAAAAAAAAUAAGUAUGAAAGUAAAAAUGAAACCUUUAAACCCAAACCAAAAGAGUAUAAAUUAAAAGAUGCAAACAUUAAAUAAAAGAUUUUCAAUUUCUUAAUACUGUUUGCCAUUUUUGUCAUUAUUCCAAUUGUAAUGUAAAUUGUAUUUAAAUUUUAAUUAAAUAAUAAAGUUGUUGAACAUUUACGCCAUAAGCAAAUUAUGAAUUUUUCAAUUCAAAGCAAUUAAAAAUACUAAAACUAAUAUUUACGCAGCAAAAAUAAUACAAAAAAACACUGACGCAUGGGAUGUUACAUUUAAUUUCGUGUAAGAUAAUGCUCUAAAAACGCUCAUUGUAGAACACAAAAAAUAAAAGCUUGCAUACAUAAUUGGGGUUUCCGCUAGCCAAAUUAUUUUACAGAGGGAAAAUUUUUCUACUAUUACAGCAACACAAAAAUAAAACUGGGUUUGUGAACGGAAUCCUUGAGCAUUAACUUAAAUUUCAGAACAUAACAGAAUCUUUUUAAUUUUGGCACACUUUUGCGCCCUUUCUAACGAUCAAGAGAUCUCUCUCAUGACAAACGUUUCAAAACAAAAAGCUUUUGGAUAAAAUUACAAAAUCUCAAAAGGAGUCUCACAAACUUUUCCACAAAUCUCAUUCGUGCAGUUUUUUUUUACCAGUUUCCUCUACAUACCAAGCAAAGUAGUGAUUUUCACAUGCUUUCUUUGUCCAAUAAGUAAGCUUAAGAGAUUUGGUCUUUGAAUUAAAGCAACGUUUUAAACUUUUACUUCCGCUACAGUUAUGAGUACGCACAAAAUGUAUCGACUUUGUAAGCAGUUGCAAUCGAUAAAGUCAGACUUUUCUUAAAGAAAAUUAAUGAAUGACUUUUCUUAAACAGUGUGCAUAGCAGUAAUGUUGCAAAUAACAAUUUUCAAUGUUACACAGCGCAUUGCGGACAACAAAUCUAACUCCAGUGCCCCGAAAUUCGCAAAACAGCUGGUAAAAAUAUUCUGCAGCCAAAACCCCAAUUAUUGUCCUAUGCUUGAAUAUAUUUGUACAGCUCAUUUAUGUCCAUAUUCAUCAUUACUUACUUACUUCUGUACCAUAAAUAUUUAAAUUUUUUUUUUCAUAAAACACACCAAAAUAAAGUUAAAUUUUAACCGUUAUGUUUAAGUAAGCAUCAAUUUACUUUGAAUGCAUCAACACACCAGCAUAUGUAUGUGCAUAGCAUGAUUGCAUUUCGUAUAUGUUUGUAUGGCUAUGUAAGUGUAAUCUAUAUAGAAAAAUUACUAAUUACAAUUAAUUAAUAAAUUAAAUUAAAAAAAAA
rnacentral:misc_RNA from 1 species